rnacentral:rRNA from 1 species
AUGAGGAUGACUGUCCCCACCAUUUCCGGUGCUGCUACUUCUGAGAUCUCCACCAAGGACGAUGAUCAAGAGAUGGAAGAUGCUGUUACUUCCAACCCUGCUCCUCCUCAUGUUAUUAAACUUCCUGACGACGAAGACGAAGCGCCGCUGAGAGUGAGGCGGAACAGGAAAGCGUCGGCUGGCGAGACUCCACAAUCCACUCCGGCGCCUGAGGCCGUAGCUCGAGACAGUGGCGAUACCACCCGGGCUUCUGUGACUUUCGCCAAUCCUCUGACGAGUGUGCGGCCCUCGACGUCGACCGUAAAUCCGCCUUCGCUCUUCGCCACACACCACGUCCCUGAGGACCAAGUGGGUGCAGCUAAGGAAGCUAUACGCCAGGCAGGCAUCAUGAUGGAGCAUGUCAAGGUGGUUCGAGAAGCCAGCCAAGCGGCUUAUGACGCGAGUUCAGCUCUUCAGAGUAACGUCCAGAAAUCCUGUGAACUUGUGGCUCUCUACACUGAGUUGGAGAACAAACAGAUCCAGCUCGACCUUGACUUGAAGCUCGCUCAACAGAACCUGCAGAAGGCACGAGACGAAGGAAAAGAUAAACUGGAGGAAGCUCUGAAGAAGAAGGAUCAAGAUCUUGCCGAAGCACAGAAGGAGGCCUCGAGCAAAACGAAGCUUGCAGAAGAGAAACUGGCUUCGGUCGGAACUCUUGAACAGGAGAACUCCAGACUAAAAACUGCUCUCGAGACAGCUAAUCGAGAGGUCAGCCGACUGAAGAACGACAAGAUGGUUCUGCACGACCAGGCGGGUGAGCUAGCGGGGAAGGUAAACGAUCUGGAGGCUUAUCUCGAUGGACUCGCCAAGAAGCUGUUCGUCAUGCUCGAAGAAUUCUGCCAGAGCUUCGAAGAGGAAACCAGUCGAGUGGAGCCAGGCUUGGAUCCCGCCAAUUCUCUCGUGAAGGACGAGGCUGCUAUGAACGUGCUCUGA